rnacentral:lncRNA from 1 species
UAAAAAAAAAAAUGUAUAAAUUUUGAUAAAAUUAAAAACAUUCGAAAUGUGAAUUCGUAGAUUAGGUUAUAAAAAUUUCGUGUGAAUUCAAGAUGCGAGUAUUAAAAAUAAACAAUACUUUGGAAACGCAGCUUAAUUAGAAAUUCUUGACAAAUAUAUAUAGCGACAGAAGACAAUAAGAUAUAUGUAUAAAGAAGAAAAAAAAACAUGUAUAAAUUCUCGUAAAACGUGAGAUUAGAAACAUUCGUGAUCGAGAUGUGGAUUCGAAGAUUAGGUUAGGUUGCCACGGUUCGUAAGGAUAGAAGCUUCGUGUUCGAAUUAGCCGGAUUCAAGAUGGAAAGGGAUGCAAAGCACGAGAGAUUAAACGAGGUAUACGUAUAAUGGAUAUAGUAUAGUCUCUGAAACGUGCACGACUCGUGGAGGCAUACGUAUCGGACGAGAACGUAUUGCAUACACGGUACAUACGGCUCGUGUACGCUCGUAUUUCCGUGUAUGCGAACACAGCAUUGUCACCGAUUCCUAGCUGGAAUAGAAUACCGAGGCAUAGAAGCUGCGUCGGCAAAAUUACAGGGAUCAUACGUGUUUUAUUGCGUGUAUCGUACGUACUAAUUGUAACAGCUUAGCGCAAAUACCGCUCUCUCGAGCAAAACUUCAAGGAUUAAAUUUCAAUCUUAACCGAUAUUAAUCUACUUCUUUUUAUUUUAUUUGAUCGUCGAUAAAAGAAGAAAUACAAUUCCGUUAUUAACUUUAGUCCUUCGAUCUUUGACCGUCUUAUUUUCCGUCCAAUUCCUAACCUAACCUUUAUUUCAAAAACGUCACCAUGUUUUCUCGAGAUUGGAACGAUAUUUAAGAAAGUGAGUAAACACUUUUUAUUAAGUGGUGAAACGGAGAAAAGUUGAAGACAGAGAUGUAAACGGUGCAACGUUAUCAAAGUUAAUUUUAGUUAAGAUUAUGUUUUAUCUGGCAGCCUAUGCUCGGCACACACUUAGAUUUACACGAGAACAGAACAAACAUAACGGAAAACAAGAUAUCAUUAUAAGCGCUACUUGGUAGAAUAAAACGCGAAUUACUUUGGUAAACUUUGAAACCUUGAAGGAAACAUAUUAAUAUUAAAUUUACUUAAUUAUACUUAAUUACUACAUCUUCGAAGAAAUCAAACAAAUUUCCACCGAUUCUAUUAUAUAUAGCAAUAAAUAAAAACACGUAAAAUGUUUUCGUACUUCAACAGUAGUUUUAUUAUCGUUGUACAUGUUAUUUUUUUUUUGUAAUUAUAUCAAUCUUCGAAUCAUUGACUGUAAUCAAGUAUUUAAUCUAUAUUCGUCACGUGAAUCGUCGUACGAGAUAUUGAAAUCAUUUAUAAACGAGUAUUACGUAUUUCAAGUUCAAUCUAUUAAAUAUGGUCAAGGUUAUUCAACGAUAUUUCUCGAGAAAAAUCCAACAUUGUAUAUAUCGAAUGAUAUCAUCAAAUGUAUUGUUAUUUCCACGAUUCGUCACGAUUGACCUGAAUAAUUUUCAAAAUGAAAUAUUGUUUUCUCGAAAUAAGAGUCAGAUAUAAAGAGAAGCUCGAUAUACGUUCGAUGGCAACAAGAUAGAAGGUAGAAUUUUUGCAGAAAAAAAGAUUGGAAAACUCGGUAUUUGUUCAUCUUGAAUCACACAGGCCAACAAUGUCGAUCGAUAUUCUACGGUAGGUUGGACUUUUAUUGACCGACGUUCGUCACAGCUUUUCAACGCGAUUAUAGAGAAUAGAGUCUAUCGAAACCUGUUCUUUUCUCAAACAUAAAACUCGAAUCGGCAAUUCGCCCGAUGAUCGGAUCGAUUUCCGUUGCUUCUUUGAAAAUCGUUUUCCUCGAUGCAGGAACGCGCAUUUGAUUCGAUUCGAGAGAGAGAGAGACAGACUUCGAAGCACGCCUUCUGCUCGAAAGCGAAGAGAUGAAUCUUCUUUUGUCACGAUUUUGAACCGCGUGCUUUUUUUCUUCCAAGCGUUUAUUCUUUGCCAUGAAUAACGAGACUAACAAAGACGUAUAAUAGACAUUGAAAAGAUGAGAAGGGAAGAAAGAGUUCUCUCGACCCAAACGUGUUUCGCGAGAUGAAAAUCAGAUGUCGUGGCUCAACGCGAGAAAAGAGACGCGAGAAUGAGGAAAGAGGAGAGAAAAAUUUUAUAUUCGCGAUGAAAGAUUUAUCGAGUUUCUUCCUCCUUCGUUAAUAAGUAAUUUGCUUUUCAAGGGAAGUCUGGUUCCGUUCGAUUCGUCGAAUAAAUUAUUAAAUAUUUACGUUUCUCCUUACUUCCUACGUAAAAUUCCCUCUACUUUCCGUCAGAAACCUGCAGACCGCAAUUAAUAUCCAGAAGUUUGGCUUUGGUUUCGAAUAUGAACGCGAUAUCCUGUACUAGCAGCAAUUCCGCUCUAUGGAAUAACAUUUCUAUAGUUAUAUUUUUAUAGUUAUGAUUCUGUUAUUGCGUGCCAUUAAUACAGUGAAAUGAAAUUGCAGUCAUUUUGUUACAAACUUCCAUUGUGGAACAUUCUUUCGUACGAAAGCCACAUCGAAUGAAAAAACGAAGAACGUUUCGAGUCGAGAGAGAGAACUAGAAAAAAACUCGAAUAUUUUACAGAAGGCGAGAACUACGACAGCUUAAGGAGAAAACACGUUCCACUUUUGUCGUACAAAGCUUGAUCGAGGAAGCGAGAGAAACAUCAUAAAAAAGAAAGGAAGAAAACUAGCGAAGAACGUUUAAAAAGUAGGAAGAUCGAAAUCACUUUUGUUCCUUCAAUCUAUGAAAGUUAGUAGCUUUUUAUUUUUAAUGUAAAUAACCGGAUCGAAAGAACUACGAUCGCGUUUCAAUAAUUACAGAUAUUGCUUCUAUUAUUAAUUAUUCGCCACGGUUUUAAUUGUAUUUUUAAUUAUCUGAUGUAUCGUGCACAGUUCAUCGAACACGAAACGUUUUCAAGCAGGCUUUCAAAUUCGUAUCUACAAUAUUCUCGUUCAAUUAUAUAUAGAGAGCUACUUGUAAGAAAGGUUAGAUUGAGAGAGGUUCGAUACAAUAUCCCUCGAGACAUAUCGAGUUUAACGAGCGUUCCUCAUUCGUUCUUUUAGGAAAUAUCGAUAUCGCGCAAAGUCGAAUAUGCAUCGAAGGAUAGAGCGAGAUAAACGACGCGACAGUAAACAUAAAGGCAAUAUGGACGCUCGGUUCCGAUUCUUUCGCGUGGUUUUCUUUACAAACUCAGUUAUAAACUUUAUCCUCGCAAAGAAUUUAGGACGUGAGUAGUGCACACUUAAACUAGUCGGAAAUGGGUGUUGUGUAAAAAAUUUCGUUUUCUUGCGCUCGUGCAAGUCGUUCGCUUUCGAAAAAUCAAGAGAAAAGAAAGAAAAGGAUUCUAACCUACUUCCAUUUGCUUUGAUGAAACGUGUGCGCGCAUACACGGUCACGUGCUACACUAAAAAUAAAGCGUCUUAGAUUCGAUUACUUGUUUCGUAGAUAAUUCGUUUCAUAAUUCUUGGCAUAAAAGUCAUGCUAUAUUAUGUAACCAUGCGAUAAUGGAUAAUCGAGAAACUACCAAAAUAUAGAUAAAAGAAGAUGACGAAAAUCUUCGAUUCAAUGGCCUUCGAAUCGCGACUUUGUAACAAAAACGAUUUUAUCUGUGUAUCUCUACGAAUAAUAAAUUCGAUUUGGUGUACAUACAAUACAAUUUUUAUGAUGGUGAACGAAUGGGAAUAUAGUUACGGGAAAUUUCUUUCGGAAGAAUUGCAAUAUUGAAGUUUAUCGCAAGAUUUUCCAUAAAAUAUGGCGUAUAACGGAGAAACGUAACAGAGGUAGAAAAAGAGGUACGAGUGAAGAUAAAAGUGGAGAAAGUACCAGAAAAGGAAAAUUGCGGAAAAUCUUACUUCUAAGACUUCGUGACCCCGAAGAAGUUAUCCUUGAAGGUAGCGAGCUGGAAGGACAAAAAAAAAAAAGUAAAGACGUUCGAAGAAAUCUUUUGACGAGCAAGUCUGGAAGAAGAAACGGGGAAAGAAUUUAUUUUUAAAAAAAGAAGUGUAUGAACGGAACGAGGUAUCGAUGGUAUAAACUGUAUACGCAAAUGUAAUUUUUAAAUUUCACCGUUAAAUUAUAUCGGUAAUUCAAUCUCGG